rnacentral:misc_RNA from 1 species
CAACACUGGCGAUCUCUUAAAUAAGCCUCAUUCGUAAUCAUUACCACAGUAAUUGUCUAGAUAUAUGUGUGAACUUAUGAAACUUGGAUUUUUACAACUAUGGAUUUAUUUAACUUAUGGGAUUUAAAAAAGGCUUUAAAAUGAAAUGACUUACCGGAAAAGGACUUACGGAAGAUCCACCAGUGACUUAAGAUGAUACCGGGGAAGGUUUUCCGGUUUAUCCA